UACGUAGGGGGCUAGCGUUGUCCGGAUUUAUUGGGCGUAAAGGGCGCGUAGGCGGUCAGCACAAGUCAGUUGUGAAAUCUCCGGGCUUAACUCGGAAAGGUCAACUGAUACUGUGCGACUAGAGUGCGGAAGGGGCAACUGGAAUUCUUGGUGUAGCGGUGAAAUGCGUAGAUAUCAAGAGGAACACCUGCGGCGAAGGCGGGUUGCUGGGCCGACACUGACGCUGAGGCGCGAAAGCCAGGGGAGCGAACGGG
rnacentral:rRNA from 1 species